rnacentral:rRNA from 1 species
ACGUACACUCCUGCGGGAGGCAGCAGUGGGGAAUAUUGCACAAUGGGCGCAAGCCUGAUGCAGCCAUGCCGCGUGUAUGAAGAAGGCCUUCGGGUUGUAAAGUACUUUCAGCGGGGAGGAAGGCGAUAAGGUUAAUAACCUUGUUGAUUGACGUUACCCGCAGAAGAAGCACCGGCUAACUCCGUGCCAGCAGCCGCGGUAAUACGGAGGGUGCAAGCGUUAAUCGGAAUUACUGGGCGUAAAGCGCACGCAGGCGGUCUGUCAAGUCGGAUGUGAAAUCCCCGGGCUCAACCUGGGAACUGCAUUCGAAACUGGCAGGCUAGAGUCUUGUAGAGGGGGGUAGAAUUCCAGGUGUAGCGGUGAAAUGCGUAGAGAUCUGGAGGAAUACCGGUGGCGAAGGCGGCCCCCUGGACAAAGACUGACGCUCAGGUGCGAAAGCGUGGGGAGCAAACAGGAUUAGAAACCCGGGUAGUCCCAUG